rnacentral:rRNA from 1 species
GAUGAACGCUGGCGGCGUGCUUAACACAUGCAAGUCGAACGGAAAGGCCCAAGCUUGCUUGGGUACUCGAGUGGCGAACGGGUGAGUAACACGUGUGUGAUCUGCCCUGCACUUCGGGAUAAGCCUGGGAAACUGGGUCUAAUACCGGAUAGGACGAUGGUUUGGAUUCCAUUGUGGAAAGUUUUUUCGGUGUGGGAUGAGCUCGCGGCCUAUCAGCUUGUUGGUGGGGUAAUGGCCUACCAAGGCGUCGACGGGUAGCCGGCCUGAGAGUGUGUACGGCCAGAUUGGGACUGAGAGACGGCCCAGACUCCUACGGGAGGCAGAAGUGGGGAAUAUUGCACAAUGGGCGAAAGCCUGAUGCAGCGACGCCGCGUGGGGGAUGACGGCCUUCGGGUUGUAAACACCUUUGGCUAGGGACGAAGCGUUUUUGUGACGGUACCUGGAGAAGAAGCACCGGCUAACUACGUG